GAUGAACGCUAGCUACAGGCUUAACACAUGCAAGUCGCGGGGCAGCAUGUCGGUUGCUUGCAACCGAUGAUGGCGACCGGCGCACGGGUGAGUAACGCGUAUCCAACCUGCCCUUCACCACGGAAUAAUCCAGUGAAAAUUGGUCUAAUACCGUAUGAGGUCAUACGAUGGCAUCAGAAUAUGACGAAAGGUUUGGCGGUGAAGGAUGGGGAUGCGUCUGAUUAGCUUGUUGGCGGGGUAACGGCCCACCAAGGCAACGAUCAGUAGGGGUUCUGAGAGGAAGGUCCCCCCACAUUGGAACUGAGACACGGUCCAAACUCCUACGGGAGGCAGCAGUGAGGAAUAUUGGUCAAUGGGCGAGAGCCUGAACCAGCCAAGUAGCGUGCAGGACGACGGCCCUAUGGGUUGUAAACUGCUUUUGUGCGGGGAUAAAGUGUGGGACGUGUCCCAUAUUGCAGGUACCGCAUGAAUAAGGACCGGCU
rnacentral:rRNA from 1 species